GCCCGGCUAGCUCAAUCGGUAGAGCGUGAGACUCUUAAAUCCGAGUUCAUCUCAAGGUUGUGGGUUCGACCCCCACGUCGGGCU